rnacentral:rRNA from 1 species
AUUGAACGCUGGCGGCAUGCUUUACACAUGCAAGUCGGGCGGCAGCACAGAGAAGCUUGCUUCUUGGGUGGCGAGUGGCGAACGGGUGAGUAAUAUAUCGGAACGUACCGAGUAAUGGGGGAUAACUAAUCGAAAGAUUAGCUAAUACCGCAUAUUCUCUGAGGAGGAAAGCAGGGGACCUUCGGGCCUUGCGUUAUUCGAGCGGCCGAUAUCUGAUUAGCUAGUUGGUGGGGUAAAGGCCUACCAAGGCGACGAUCAGUAGCGGGUCUGAGAGGAUGAUCCGCCACACUGGGACUGAGACACGGCCCAGACUCCUACGGGAGGCAGCAGUGGGGAAUUUUGGACAAUGGGCGCAAGCCUGAUCCAGCCAUGCCGCGUGUCUGAAGAAGGCCUUCGGGUUGUAAAGGACUUUUGUCAGGGAAGAAAAGGCUGUUGCUAAUAUCAAUAGCUGAUGACGGUACCUGAAGAAUAAGCACCGGCUAACUACGUG